rnacentral:rRNA from 1 species
GAUGAACGCUGGCGGCGUGCCUAAUACAUGCAAGUCGAGCGAACAGACGAGGAGCUUGCUCCUUCGACGUUAGCGGCGGACGGGUGAGUAACACGUAGGUAACCUACCUAUAAGACUGGGAUAACUUCGGGAAACCGGAGCUAAUACCGGAUAAUAUUUCGAACCGCAUGGUUCGAUAGUGAAAGAUGGCUUUGCUAUCACUUAUAGAUGGACCUGCGCCGUAUUAGCUAGUUGGUAAGGUAACGGCUUACCAAGGCAACGAUACGUAGCCGACCUGAGAGGGUGAUCGGCCACACUGGAACUGAGACACGGUCCAGACUCCUACGGGAGGCAGCAGUAGGGAAUCUUCCGCAAUGGGCGAAAGCCUGACGGAGCAACGCCGCGUGAGUGAUGAAGGUCUUCGGAUCGUAAAACUCUGUUAUUAGGGAAGAACAAACGUGUAAGUAACUGUGCACGUCUUGACGGUACCUAAUGAGAAAGCCACGGCUAACUACGUG